UACGUAGGGGGCGAGCGUUGUCCGGAUUCAUUGGGCGUAAAGCGCGCGUAGGCGGCUUCGUAAGUCGGCCGUGAAAUCUCCAGGCUUAACUUGGAGGGGUCGGGCGAGACUGCGGAGCUCGAGGUGGGCAGAGGGCAGUGGAAUUCCGGGUGUAGUGGUGGAAUGCGUAGAGAUCCGGAGGAACACCAGUGGCGAAGGCGGCUGCCUGGGCCUGGCCUGACGCUGAGGCGCGAAAGCCAGGGGAGCAAACGGG
rnacentral:rRNA from 1 species